rnacentral:rRNA from 1 species
UACGGGAGGCAGCAGGGGGGAAUAUUGCACAAUGGGCGCAAGCCUGAUGCAGCCAUGCCGCGUGUAUGAAGAAGGCCUUCGGGUUGUAAAGUACUUUCAGUCGUGAGGAAGGUGUUAAGGUUAAUAACCUUAGCAAUUGACGUUAGCGACAGAAGAAGCACCGGCUAACUCCGUGCCAGCAGCCGCGGUAAUACGGAGGGUGCGAGCGUUAAUCGGAAUUACUGGGCGUAAAGGGCACGCAGGCGGUUAAUUAAGUUGGAUGUGAAAUCCCCGGGCUUAACCUGGGAAUGGCAUUCAAGACUGGUUAGCUAGAGUCUUGUAGAGGGGGUAGAAUUCCAUGUGUAGCGGUGAAAUGCGUAGAGAUGUGGAGGAAUACCGGUGGCGAAGGCGGCCCCUGGACAAAGACUGACGCUCAUGUGCGAAAGCGUGGGGAGCAAACGAGGGAUUAGAUACCCGU